rnacentral:rRNA from 1 species
GAUGAACGCUGGCGGCGUGCCUAAUACAUGCAAGUCGAGCGAACAGACGAGGAGCUUGCUCCUCUGACGUUAGCGGCGGACGGGUGAGUAACACGUGGAUAACCUACCUAUAAGACUGGGAUAACUUCGGGAAACCGGAGCUAAUACCGGAUAAUAUAUUGAACCGCAUGGUUCAAUAGUGAAAGACGGUUUUGCUGUCACUUAUAGAUGGAUCCGCGCCGCAUUAGCUAGUUGGUAAGGUAACGGCUUACCAAGGCGACGAUGCGUAGCCGACCUGUGAGGGUGAUAGGCCACACUGGAGCGGGGACACGGUCAAGACGCCUACGGGAGGCAGCAGUAGGGAAUCUUCCGCAAUGGGCGAAAGCCUGACGGAGCAACGCCGCGUGAGUGAUGAAGGUCUUCGGAUCGUAAAAAUCUGUUAUGAGGGAAGAACAAAUGUGUAAGUAACUAUGCACGUCUUGACGGUACCGAAUCAGAAAGCCACGGCUAACUACGUG